CAACAACCGAUUCUGAAAUUGAUUGAGCUCGGAAUCCAAAAACAUCAGCUGUCUCCCGUUUCCAGAGAGUUCGCCGACCAGUUUUGCUUUCAAACUGAAGAGAAAACUACAGUUUAACUUCACCAGGCACAAUCAUCAGAAUGAGAUGCAGGAAAAUAUUAACCCAGAAUGGUUUCAUUUUACCGUCCAGUUAGAGAAACAUUUCACAAAUGAUAAUCGUGUAUGCCCAAAAGGUUUUGUGCGGAUCUGCGAAUUCGGUUUUUGUGGAAUAAUUCGACCAAGGGCUAUGAUGUAGCAGCGGUCAGAGUAAGUCCAAUCAUACGGCUUCAUCCCACCCCGAGAGCAGAUGAGCGCUGGGGAAUGUUUUCAGCCACCUGGAGGAGGAAGUUCAGCGCGGAAGAAAUGUUACCAGACUUCGCCGAUCUGGUAUCUGGACUUUUUUGAUGAUCUCAUAGAGAUUGGGUGUGCAGAUGGGCGGUUAAAGUUCUGGGAGGGAACGACUGGUAACUUUAAGGUAAAUUGUUUGGAGUUAUUUGCUUUUAUUACAACUAUUGACGUACGUUUCAUUGCAGGAUAUAUAUGAAGCCGAAAACACCCACAACAAUGGGGUAACUAACUUAAACCUCGCCGGUGACAAAGUGAUAGUCGCACGGUUGAGUGAACGAAUCGAUUUUCUGAGACUGGAAACGUACACGUAAGGUUGUCAGAUCGAUUGGGAAUUUACGUCUGCAUAUGGGCGAACCCACGUACGAAGCGGUUCGGCAGCAAGCAUUAGUUUAUUUCAGCAAUCCGCCGGCUCAAAUCCGUCCACAGCGUUGCCAGCUCAACAUCACGCAUCCGAGGAG